GAUUAAACAAACAGCUGGAAUCGGUGAAGAGCACGGCCUCUGUCACUGAGAGGAAGACAGCUCAGCACCGGGCAGACUCAUUCAAACACAUUUCCAGAAUGAUGAUGAUCUGUGCCAUCCUACUUCUGUUUGUGGCCUCCGCCAACACACAGUCUUCAAACUCGUCUGCAACCACAGCUGCUCCAACAACAGCUACAGCUGCAACAACAACAGCUACAGCUGCAACAACAACAACUACAACUGCAGCAACA